AUUGAACGCUGGCGGCAGGCCUAACACAUGCAAGUCGAACGAGUGGCGGACGGGUGAGUAAUGUAUGGGAAACUGCCUGAUAGAGGGGGAUAACUACUGGAAACGGUGGCUAAUACCGCAUACCAUCGGAUGUGCCCAUAUGGGAUUAGCUAGUAGGUGGGGUAAAGGCUCACCAAGGCGACGAUCCCUAGCUGGUCUGAGAGGAUGACCAGCCACACUGGAACUGAGACACGGGCCAGACUCCUACGGGAGGCAGCAGUGGGGAAUAUUGCACAAUGGGCGCAAGCCUGAUGCAGCCAUGCCGCGUGUAUGAAGAAGGCCUUCGGGUUGUAAAGUACUUUCAGCGGGGAGGCGUUACCCGCAGAAGAAGCACCGGCUAACUCCGUGCCAGCAGCCGCGGUAAUAC
rnacentral:rRNA from 1 species